rnacentral:rRNA from 1 species
GAUGAACGCUGGCGGCGUGCUUAACACAUGCAAGUCGAACGAGAAGUGAAGACGGAAACCUUCGGGCGGAAGGCUUUAUUUCGAGUGGCGGACGGGUGAGUAACGCGUGGGUAACCUGCCUCAUACAGGGGGAUAACAGUUGGAAACGACUGUUAAUACCGCAUAAGACCACAGCACCGCAUGGUGCGGGGGUAAAAACUCCGGUGGUAUGAGAUGGACCCGCGUUCGAUUAGCCAGUUGGCGGGGUAACGGCCCACCAAGGCGACGAUCGAUAGCCGAUCUGAGAGGAUGACCGGCCACAUUGGGACUGAGACACGGCCCAAACUCCUACGGGAGGCAGCAGUGGGGAAUAUUGCACAAUGGGGGAAACCCUGAUGCAGCGACGCCGCGUGAGUGAAGAAGUAUUUCGGUAUGUAAAGCUCUAUCAGCAGGGAAGAAAAUGACGGUACCUGAGUAAGAAGCCCCGGCUAACUACGU